rnacentral:rRNA from 1 species
UUGGAGGGCAAGUCUGGUGCCAGCAGCCGCGGUAAUUCCAGCUCCAAUAGCGUAUAUUAAAGUUGUUGCAGUUAAAAAGCUCGUAGUUGAACUUCGGGAUCAAUGGAUUGGUCAUGCCGAUGGUGUGUACUGGUCAUAUUGGUUCUCACCUUCUAAGGAACCAUAAUGUCAUUUAUUUGAUGUUGUGGGGAAUUAGGACUGUUACCUUGAAAAAAUUAGAGUGUUUAAAGCAGGCUAACGCUUGAAUACAUUAGCAUGGAAUAAUGAAAUAGGACAUCGCAUUCUAUUUUGUUGGUUUCUAGGAUCGAUGUAAUGAUUAAUAGGGAUAGUUGGGGGCAUUAGUAUUCAAUUGUCAGAGGUGAAAUUCUUGGAUUUAUUGAAGACUAACUACUGCGAAAGCAUUUGCCAAGGAUGUUUUCAUUAAUCAAGAACGAAAGUUAGGGGAUCGAAGACGAUCAGAUACCGUCGUAGUCUUAACCAUAAACUAUGCCGACUAGGGAUCGGAUGAUGUUGAUUUUUUAAUGACUCAUUCGGCGCCUUACGGGAAAC